GAUGAACGCUGGCGGCGUGCCUAACACAUGCAAGUCGAGCGAGAAGUUUGAAAAAUGAGUUUUCGGACAAGUGAUUCAAACGGAAAGCGGCGGACGGGUGAGUAACGCGUAGGCAAUCUGCCCCGUGCAGAGGGACAGCCUCGGGAAACCGGGAUUAAGACCUCAUGAUAUCGGGUUAUCACAUGGUAAUCCGGUCAAAGAUUUAUCGGCAUGGGAUGGGCCUGCGUCUGAUUAGCUGGUUGGUGGGGUAACGGCCUACCAAGGCGACGAUCAGUAGCAGAACUGGGAGGUUCAUCUGCCACAUUGGAACUGAGACACGGUCCAAACUCCUACGGGAGGCAGCAGUGAGGAAUAUUGCACAAUGGGCGAAAGCCUGAUGCAGCAACGCCGCGUGAGCGAAGAAGGCCUUUGGGUCGUAAAGCUCUGUCCUUGGGGAAGAAACAAAUGACGGUACUCUUGGAGGAAGCCCCGGCUAACUACGUGCCAGCCGCCGCCGUAA
rnacentral:rRNA from 1 species